ensembl:lncRNA
CAUAGACUGUAUAUAAUGGUAUUUACGCAGCUAAUCAAUGUCAGGCGUCCUUAUGUGCAGCCAUCGUUGUUCUCAUAGAUAUGAAUGAGUAGAUAGGACACGCCCCUUUGAGCUACGUGCUACAGCGAGGCUAAGCUAGUGGGAGCAAAGUUUCAGUGCAUUCUGUUGAUGUAGACGGCGUAAAAACGGAAACAAGAAGUAUGCCGUCUCACUGUGCUGCAUACAAUUACACACUACGUCGUACGAUUGAGACAAGGAAACUUGGAAUGACUUUUCAUAGGUUUCCCAGAGACUAUGGGUUGAGGAGGAAUUGGAAGUUUGUCGGCUUAGACCUGGUGUCAUUCCAUCAGUGUUUAACUUCCCGGCUCAUCUUGGAAGAGUACGUGCCAGAAAGACUACAACCAAGCAGCCUUGAGAUCUUAGGCAGCGUCUCCCUGAGACCAAAGAACUACAGACUCUUCACAACCUGCUCAAACUCUUGGUACAGGACCUCACCACACGGGUCAAGAAGGUUUCCGUCUCAUUUCUACUCUGAAGCUCACCUUCUCCUGCUCAAACUGCUGACAAAUGUUUCUGCUGCUCUAAAGUCUGGUCUCCAGAACUUCCUAAAAACUCUCAAAGUCUCUUCUGCUGCAGGUUGCUUUGUAGAACUGUUCCAGAAAACCUCACUAAACCACAUGGAGGGGCCUCAAGAUAGUCGUCCAAAUGAAACCAUACAAAAACCAAACUAGCACAACCCAAACACUAAAGUCUCCUGCAGCCUACCAGAGAACCUCUGA